rnacentral:misc_RNA from 1 species
ACAAACUUGGUCAUUUAGAGGAAGUAAAAGUCGUAACAAGGUUUCCGUAGGUGAACCUGCGGAAGGAUCAUUCACAAUACGAGUGUUUUAUGGCACUCUUUAAAAAAAAUCCAUACCCACCUUGUGUGCAAUGUAAAGAGAGGAGAUUUGGAGGGGUUGGACCUAGGGCUUAGUUCUUAGGAAGACCCCUCGAUCUCUCUUCUUUUCUUAUAUACACCUUUCUAAAGUCUAUUGUCUGAAACUGUUGGAGAAUAUCUAAUUCUUAAACACAACUUUCAACAACGGAUCUCUUGGCUCUCGCAUCGAUGAAGAACGCAGC